rnacentral:rRNA from 1 species
CCUGGCAAACUGAAACAUCUUAGUAGCCAAAGGAAAAGAAAGCAAAAGCGAUUCCCGUAGUAGUGGCGAGCGAAACGGGA